UCCGCCCAAAAUGUUCGGAGCUCAGCCUCCUCCUCCGCCUUCGCCACUCCCUCAUCCACCCCACCUUCGGAACCCCUUCAUCCACUCCUAGCUUCGGCACACCUUCUACUCCGGCAUUCGGAACCUCCCUGUUCUCCACUCCGUUUUCUCAACCGGCACAACCUCAGCAGCAGGGUUCGUUGUUUCAGACUCCCUAGAGCUCCAGCGCAUUCAGCUUUUCGACGCCGCUUGGGGCCACGCAGCCACAACAGAAUCUAUCAGCUUCAACGUUCACUCAGACUACAUUACCCUUAGCAAAUGCUCAAUUAACCACUCAAAUGGCUCCUGUAGCUCCUUUGUCCUUUUCUCUUGCCGUUCGAGAUUUCAGUUCCAGGGUGGUGAACUUUUCACAACAUCUCAUAGCUGGAUGGAAUUUCAUUUUUCAUCUUCUUCUAGUCUUUGCAUGUAGUAGUGUUUUGAUCUGGUUUCAGACUGCGGCUUAGUGGCUUUGUUGAGCACGAAGUUGAAGGGGAUGGAAACUGUCAGUUCUGUGCUUUAUCAGAUCAGUUUUAUCAAACACCAGAAUAUCACAGAGAUAUCAAAAAACAAGUUGUUAAUCAGCCUGGUGGUGGGACUGGAUCGAUGAGAGUAUGCUUGUAAAGAAUGUUUGUAAUCUAAAGAAGCAUGAAGUUGAUUGAAUUCUCAAAAUUGAUAUUGUAUAACAAGGAGAUAGAUUGGAGCUAACUAUUGUGCUAAAGAAAGAGGUCAUGGACCAAAGAAGAGCCAAUGCAAUGAGUACUGACUGCUAUACUGGAGAAACAUGUGCUUUAUGAACUAGAUGCUGAUAUUGGCCACUAGGAGGAAUAUAACCAUGAGUGGCGUGGGAAACUGUAGAGGUUGGCAUGCAUAUCAGAAAGUGGGACUGAUCAAAUUUAGUUGGCUAGAGGAUGUAAAAUAGUUCAUGUUGAAUCACUAAUUCACUGACUUUUAUGUUUCAGAAUUGUCAACAUCAAUUAAUUUCUUUUUGUAUAGGAUUUAAAAUAAAAAAAUUAGUUUCUUUGCCUUUGGUCUUUACAAAGUUGUAUGAAUCAUUUCAUUUUUGUAAUGAUGAUGAAGCCUUUUAAUAUAUUGAUCGAGUUUACUUUGAUU